rnacentral:rRNA from 1 species
UGAGCAAUCUGCCCUUCUCAUCGGAAUAAGCGUUGGAAACGACGUCUAAUGCCGAAUACGACCUCCUUUCGCAUGAUCGGAGGUGGAAAGCUCCGGCGGAGAAGGAUGAGCUCGCGGCCUAUCAGCUAGUUGGUGUGGUAAUGGCCCACCAAGGCGACGACGGGUAGCCGGCCUGAGAGGGUGACCCGGCCACACUGGGACUGAGACACGGCCCAGACCUCCGUACGGGAGCAG